AACGAACGCUGGCGGCAUGCCUAACACAUGCAAGUCGAACGAAGCCUUCGGGCUUAGUGGCGCACGGGUGCGUAACGCGUGGGAAUCUGCCCUUGGGUUCGGAAUAACAGUUGGGAAUGACUGCUAAUACCGGAUGAUGUCUUCGGACCAAAGAUUUAUCGCCCAAGGAUGAGCCCGCGUAGGAUUAGGUAGUUGGUGGGGUAAUGGCCCACCAAGCCGACGAUCCUUAGCUGGUCCGAGAGGAUGAUCAGCCACACUGGGACUGAGACACGGCCCAGACUCCUACGGGAGGCAGCAGUGGGGAAUAUUGGACAAUGGGCGAAAGCCUGAUCCAGCAAUGCCGCGUGAGUGAUGAAGGCCUUAGGGUUGUAAAGCUCUUUUACCAGGGAUGAUAAUGACAGUACCUGGAGAAUAAGCUCCGGCUAACUCCGUGCCAGCCGCCGCAGUAAUAC
rnacentral:rRNA from 1 species